AGAACGAACGCUGGCGGCGCGUCUUAAGCAUGCAAGUCGAACGGCAAGAGGUAGCAAUACCUCCUAGAGUGGCGGACUGGUGAGUAACACGUGGGUGACAUACCCUUCAGAUGGGGAUAGCUAUUAGAAAUAGUAGAUAAUACCGAAUACGAGCACAGGGGUUAGAGAUCUGUGAGGAAAGGAGCUAAGGCUCCGCUGAAGGAAUGGCCUGCGGCCCAUUAGCUAGUUGGUGAGGUAAGAGCCCACCAAGGCGAUGAUGGGUAUCCGGCCUUAGAGGGUGAACGGACACAUUGGGACUGAGAUACGGCCCAGACUCCUACGGGAGGCAGCAGCUAAGAAUAUUCCGCAAUGGACGAAAGUCUGACGGAGCGACGCCGCGUGGAUGAAGAAGGCCGGAAGGUUGUAAAAAUCCUUUUGAAACUGAAGAAUAAGCGUUGUAGGGAAUGACAGCGUGGUGACAGCAGGUUUUGAAUAAGCAACGGCUAAUUACGUGCCAGCCGCCGC
rnacentral:rRNA from 1 species